GACGAACGCUGGCGGCGUGCUUAACACAUGCAAGUCGAACGGAAAGGCCCUGCUUUUGUGGGGUGCUCGAGUGGCGAACGGGUGAGUAACACGUGAGUAACCUGCCCUUGAAUUUGGGAUAACUUCAGGAAACUGGGGCUAAUACCGGAUAGGAGCUCCUGCUGCAUGGUGGGGGUUGGUAAGUUUCGGCGGUUGGGUAUGGACUCGCGGCUUAUCAGCUUGGUGGUGGGGUAGUGGCUGACCAAGGCUUUGACGGGUAGGCGGCCUGGGAGGGGGAACGGCCACAAUGGGACUGAGAGACGGCGCAGACUGCUACCGGAGGCAGCAGUGGAGAAUAUUGCGGAAUGGGCGGAAGCCUGAUGCAGCAACGCCGGGUGCGGGAUGACGGCCUUUGGGGUGUGAACCGCUUUCGCCUGUGACGAAGAGUGAGUGACGGUAAUGGGUAAAGAAGCAACGGCUAACUACGUG
rnacentral:rRNA from 1 species